AAGACUGGCACAUCUUAUGUAUGCUCGAUGCAGAGGAUGAUUGAUCUCACAAUCAUUUGUGUGGAUACACUAAUACAAAGAUGUGGGUGCUCAUUAGAGGAAUGAGUUCACUGAAUUGAUCUACAAUGAGAAAUCUUAUGAAGUCUUACUUACAUGUCAAAAGAUGAUUCUCUUAGUGGGAGUUGUGCAACUGAUCCUAUGACCUGAGAUCACCAUGGUAUCUUGUGCACAUGAAUCCAUAUUUUGGUUUACACUCAUUCAUGACAAUAAGUUAUGUACGAGGUCUUCUGGAUAUGGUGAAUUAUGUACGAAGAUUAUGAGUAGGUCAACAAGGAAUUAAUCACUUCUAGUAAGAGAAGAUAGCAUCCUAUUUAUUCUAAUCAUAUGAUAAUUCAGGAAGCCUUUGAUCAAAGCAGAAUGAAAAUUAGAAAGAGUUUCUAAAUGUUUCAUUAUUUGAAUUAUCAUUAAAAGAUUGAGAAAAUAUGAAUAUGAAAUUGAGUUUGACAUAUAUUCAUACUUAUAUACAUAUUUGGGAUGCAGUUUGAUUAAAGGAUUGAAUUGCACGGUAACUUGCUACUGAAGGGUAUUUUUGGUAUUUCCACCAAAUUUCAUAUUUUUCGGGUAGACAUGACACGUUGCUAGACGUCAAUCUUGUCUUAUAGGUUUGAUCGA
rnacentral:lncRNA from 1 species